rnacentral:rRNA from 1 species
CCUACGGGAGGCAGCAGUGAGGAAUAUUGGUCAAUGGCCGGAAGGCUGAACCAGCCAAGUCGCGUGAGGGACGACUGCCCUAUGGGUUGUAAACCUCUUUUAUCAGGGAAGAAUAAAUGCUACGUGUAGCAUGAUGCCUGUACCUUAUGAAUAAGCAUCGGCUAACUCCGUGCCAGCAGCCGCGGUAAUACGGAGGAUGCGAGCGUUAUCCGGAUUUAUUGGGUUUAAAGGGUGCGUAGGCGGUUUUUUAAGUUAGUGGUAAAACGUCGGGGCUUCACCUUGGUUAGCCAUUAAUACUGUAAGACUCGAGAUGAGACGAGGUAGGCGGAAUGAGUUGAGUAGCGGUGAAAUGCUUAGAUAU